rnacentral:rRNA from 1 species
GGGCCCGCACAAGCGGUGGAGCAUGUGGUUUAAUUCGAUGAUACGCGAGGAACCUUACCAGGGCUUAAAUGUAAGUUGCAUUAGUUAGAGAUAGCUAUUUCUUCGGACUACUUACAAGGUGCUGCAUGGUUGUCGUCAGCUCGUGCCGUGAGGUGUCAGGUUAAGUCCUAUAACGAGCGCAACCCCUGUUGUUAGUUGCCAGCGAUUCAAGUCGGGAACUCUAACAAGACUGCCGGUGCAAACCGUGAGGAAGGUGGGGAUGACGUCAAAUCAUCACGGCCCUUACGUCCUGGGCUACACACGUGCUACAAUGGUAGGGACAGAGAGCAGCCACUACGCGAGUAGGAGCGAAUCUAUAAACCGGUCUCAGUUCGGAUCGGGGUCUGCAACUCGGCCCCGUGAAGCUGGAAUC